rnacentral:rRNA from 1 species
GAUGAACGCUGGCGGCGUGCCUAAUACAUGCAAGUCGAGCGAACAGAUGAGGAGCUUGCUCCUCUGACGUUAGCGGCGGACGGGUGAGUAACACGUGGAUAACCUACCUAUAAGACUGGGAUAACUUCGGGAAACCGGAGCUAAUACCGGAUAAUAUAUUGAACCGCAUGGUUCAAUAGUGAAAGACGGUUUUGCUGUCACUUAUAGAUGGAUCCGCGCCGCAUUAGCUAGCUGGUAAGGUAACGGCUUACCAAGGCAACGAUGCGUAGCCGACCUGAGAGGGUGAUCGGCCACACUGGAACUGAGACACGGACCAGACUCCUACGGGAGGCAGCAGUAGGGAAUCUUCCGCAAUGGGCGAAAGCUUGACGGAGCAACGCCGCGUGAGUGAUGAAGGUCUUCGGAUCGUAAAACUCUGUUAUUAGGGAAGAACAAAUGUGUAAGUAACUAUGCACGUCUUGACGGUACCUAAUCAGAAAGCCACGGCUAACUACGUG